rnacentral:lncRNA from 1 species
UUUGGGGAGGGACAGAAAACAGUAUGUCACCAGGCGGUACACUUGGUAGUUCUUUAUUAAGUAAUACAUUACACAAUGUGAACAUAGAAAUGGUGUGUAGUCAUCACUACAACAAAGUACUGCGUCCCAAAUUGCAUCCGACUAUCUAUAUAGUGUACAACUUUAGGCCAGGAUGCAUAGGGCUCUAGUCUAAAGUAGUGCACUGCAUAGGGAAUAGGGUGCCAUUGGGGACACAGCCUGAACCAUACCGAUAGUUUCUUCCCUAGCUACGACACCUACAGUAUAGAAAUUAUUUUCUGAGCACAAUAAAUGAUCAUCCCAAUAGACAUCAUGAAGACAAUUCACCCCCAAAAGACUAUAUAAAAACACCCUACAAAAAACAAAUGAAUCAUAAAAAAAGCACAUCUCUUUUCUUACAUAUUGGACUGUCAAGGAGCAUAAGAGCAUUGAUGAAAAAUACUUUCUACAGAUAAAAGAAAGUUUGGAAGAGGGAAGGUUCACCUCAGCAGUGAAGAAUAGGUCAACAUGGUACUGUAGUCCAGUCUGAAAGGCACAAUUCUGUAUCAACACACUUGGUUUUUAGAUACUUAAGGAGAACGAGAGAUCCUCACAACCUGCCUAGCACCCUAUUCACCCUACACCCCCUGGUCAGAAGUAGUGCACUAUGAAGGGAAUCAAGUGCCAUCUGGGACACUCAGAGAGAUGGAAUGAUUUUCUGAGGACAUGGACAUCCUACCACUGUGACUGGUUUGUCACAAAGGUUUGUUUCAGCAUGCUCAGUUCAUCUAGUAGUUUCCUCCUCUUAUCAGUAGUGCACUAUGAAGGGAAUAGGGUGCCAUCUGGGACACAGUCUAUGAGCACUUUUCCAUCCAAACCACUUUGUUACAAUAAGGAUUAUCAGAUUUUAUAUCUGGUACAUUCUGGUGUCUUCCUGUAAGCAUCGUUUUAUUGAGAAUUUGGCAUGAAAAAGAUUGUUGUCUCUAGCUCCGCUCUCAUCCCUCUCUCUCUCUGCCCCCGUAUCGGUCCCCCUCCUCUCUCCACAACAAACAUAAUUUCCCCUCACAGCCGAGUGUUCCUGGUGGUACAGUCUCUUCGCCGGUAUGAAUAUGUUUCCACCUACUCCCUGCGUGAUCUUCCAGUACUCAAAAGGCCACUUGGUGGCUUGAACAAUGUGUUUGUGUUUGUGCAUACAUACUGCCUGUUGGGCCUAGUCUACUGCCUGUUCCCUCUCCAGCUGGAGCUCUGCAUAAACAGCAGCAGGACAGAGUCAUGUUCAUUAGGGCACACUGUUCCAAGAUGUUUUACAACAGAAGAGGAAGACAAGUACUAUUGCACAAGGACAUCAAUUACAGGAUACGCUUCACAUUCCUUCCUGCUUGGCUCCAGGGUGCUGAUUCCAUUGGCGCUAAGGCACAGGGCGGGUCCAGGGGGCUGAUUCUAUUGGCACUAAGGCACAGGGCGGGUCCAGGGUGCUGAUUCUAUUGGCACUAAGGCACAGGGCGGGUCCAGGGUGUGUGUCUUUUGUAACAUGGCUGGAUCCCAGGUGAUCCACCCAUGGGAGAGUGGCAUACCGGUCCUAUUGUUCACAGCUCUCUGUACAGCUACCAUGGGAAUGAGAGCAGGUCUGACCUCAUGGAGUCGCAGCUCUGUGAGAGAGAGGAGAUAUGGAGGACAAUGAGUUCUGUCCCUGAUACACUGAUUACUACUUCACUGUGUUAGGAAUGUUGAUUACAUUUAGUCUUUAUUCAUUAAUGUUGAUUAAUGCGUUAUAGUAUGCCAUGAAACAUUGUAUACCUGUCUGGUUAGUGCCAACUUGGGUCAAUUUGCUCUGUAAUAUCAUAACAUGAAAUUGCUAAUUGUGUCUUAGAUGACGCAUUAACAUACAGUAUAAAACAGCCGUUAUGUUCCAAUGUUCAUAUUAGCAUACCUUUUAGAACGCAUGGCCAGGUAUUAUCCUAGUGUGGACACAGCUUGUGUUAAGAAUGCAUGGCCAGGUAAUAUUCUAGUGUGGACACAGCUGGUGUUCAGAACACAUGGCCAGGUAUUAUCCUAGUGUGGACACAGCUUGUGUUUUGGCA